UGCAGUCGAGCGAACGAUGAAAAUUGUGCUUGUCUGAUGUUACGGCGGACGGGUGAUGACCACGUGUCUGACCGACCUAUAAGACUGGCAUAACUCCGGGAAACCGGGGAUAAUACCGGAUAAUAUUUUGAACCGGAUGGUUCUAUAGUGAAAGACGUAUUCGAUUGUCCCUUAUAGAUGGACCCACGCCGUAUUAUCUAGGUGUAACGGUAACGGCUUACCAAGGUGACCAUACAGAACCAACCUGAGAGGGUGAUCGGACACACUGGAACUACUCCUCGGGCCAGACUCCUAGGGGAGGAUUGAACAAGGAAUCUUCCGCAGUGCCCGACAUGCUGACGGAGCAACGACGGGUGAGUGAUGAAGGUCUUCGGAUCGUAAAAAUCUGUUGUUAGGGAAGAACACCUUUGUGAUUAGCUGAACCCGUCUUGACGGUACCUAACCAAAAACCCGCCGCUAACUACGUGCCAACAACCGCGGUAAUACUUAAGUGGAAUUACUGAUCCGAAAUUAUUGGGAGUAGAGCGCGCGUAGGCGAUGUCUUAUCUCUGAUGUGAAACUCCACGGUUCAUCCGUGACUACUGAUUGAAAACUGGGAAAAUUGAGUGGAAAUUACGAGAGUGGAAUUCAAUGUGUAACAUAGAAAUGCGCACAGAUAUGGAGGAACACCCCUGCUGAACGGGAUCUCUCUGCUCUGUAGCUGA
rnacentral:rRNA from 1 species